rnacentral:rRNA from 1 species
ACGUAAUAGAUACCCUGGUAGUCCACGCCCUAAACGAUGUCUACUAGUUGUUGGUGGAGUAAAAUCCAUGAGUAAACGCAGCUAAACGCGUGAAGUAGACCGCCUGGGGAGUACGGUCGCAAGAUUAAAACUCAAAUGAAUUGACGGGGGCCCGCACAAGCGGUGGAUUAUGUGGAUUAAUUCGAUGCAACGCGAAAACCUUACCUGGCCUUGACAUGUAACGAACUUUCCAGAGAUGGAUUGGUGCUCGAAAGAGAACGUUAACACAGGUGCUGCAUGGCUGUCGUCAGCUCGUGUCGUGAGAUGUUGGGUUAAGUCCCGCAACGAGCGCAACCCUUGCCAUUAAUUGCCAUCAUUUAGUUGGGCACUUUAAUGGGACUGCCGGUGACAAACCGGAGGAAGGUGGGGAUGACGUCAAGUCCUCAUGGCCCUUAUGGCCAGGGCUUCACACGUAAUACAAUGGUCGGUACAGAGAGUUGCCAACCCGCGAGGGGAGCCAAUCUCAGAAAGCCGAUCGUAGUCCGGAUUGUAGUCUGCAAC